rnacentral:rRNA from 1 species
GACGAACGCUGGCGGCGUGCUUAACACAUGCAAGUCGAACGGGAAGGCCCUGCUUUUUGGGGGUGCUCUAGUUGCGAACGGGUGAGUAACACGUGAGUAACCUGCCCUUGACUUUGGGAUAACUUCAUGAAACUGGGUCUAAUACCGGAUAGGAGCUCCUGCUGCAUGGUGGGGGUUGGAAAGUUUCGGCGGUUGGUGAUGGACUCGCGGCUUAUCAGAUUGUUGGUGGGGUAGUGGCUUACCAAGGCUUUGACGGGUAGCCGGCCUGAGAGGGUGACCGGCCACAUUGGGACUGAGAUAAGGCACAGCCUCCUACGGGAGGCAGCAGUGGGGAAUAUAGCACAAUGGGAGGAAGCAUGAUGCAGCAACGCCGCGUGCGGGAUGACGGCCUUCGGGUUGUAAACCGCUUUCGCCUGUGACGAAGCGUGAGUGACGGUAAUGGGUAAAGAAGCACCGGCUAACUACGUG